rnacentral:rRNA from 1 species
CCUACGGGUGGCAGCAGUGAGGAAUAUUGGUCAAUGGACGAGAGUCUGAACCAGCCAAGUAGCGUGAAGGAUGACUGCCCUAUGGGUUGUAAACUUCUUUUAUAUGGGAAUAAAACGUUCCACGUGUGGGAUUUUGUAUGUACCAUAUGAAUAAGGAUCGGCUAACUCCGUGCCAGCAGCCGCGGUAAUACGGAGGAUCCGAUCGUUAUCCGGAUUUAUUGGGUUUAAAGGGAGCGUAGGUGGAUUGUUAAGUCAGUUGUGAAAGUUUGCGGCUCAACCGUAAAAUUGCAGUUGAAACUGGCAGUCUUGAGUACAGUAGAGGUGGGCGGAAUUCGUGGUGUAGCGGUGAAAUGCUUAGAUAUCACGAAGAACUCCGAUUGCGAAGGCAGUUCACUGGACUGCAACUGACACUGAGGCUCGAAAGUGUGGGUAUCAAACAGGAUUAGAUACCCUUGUAGUC